GUAGUUGGAUUUUGGGCGCAGGCGGCCGGUCCGUCGCAAGGCGUGUACUGGACGUCCUGGCCUUCCCUCCGGUUUCUCCGCCGGUGCUCUUGACUGAGUGUCGGCGGCGGCCGGAACGUUUACUUUGAAAAAAUUAGAGUGUUCAAAGCAGGCUCUCGAGCCUGGAUAAUGGUGCAUGGAAUAAUGGAAUAGGACCUCGGUUCUAUUUUGUUGGUUUUCGGAGCGCGAGGUAAUGAUUAAGAGGGACAGACGGGGGCAUUCGUACUGUGCCGUUAGAGGUGAAAUUCUUGGAUCGGCGCAAGACGAACGACUGCGAAAGCAUUUGCCAAGAAUGUUUUCUUUAAUCAAGAGCGAAAGUCAGAGGUUCGAAGACGAUCAGAUACCGUCCUAGUUCUGACUAUAAACGAUGCCAACUAGCGAUCGGGGGGCGUUACAUUGACGACCCCUCCGGCAGCUUACGGGAAACCAAAGUCUUUGGGUUCCGGGGGAAGUAUGGUUGCAAAGCUGAAACUUAAAGGAAUUGACGGAAGGGCACCACCAGGAGUGGAGCCUGCGGCUUAAUUUGACUCAACACGGGAAAUCUCACCCGGCCCGGACACAGUGAGGAUUGACAGAUUGAGAGCUCUUUCUUGAUUCUGUGGGUGGUGGUGCAUGGCCGUUCUUAGUUGGUGGAGCGAUUUGUCUGGUUAAUUCCGAUAACGAACGAGACUCUGGCUUGCUAAAUAGUUACGCGACCAUCCCGGUCGGCGUGGACUUCUUAGAGGGACAAGUGGCGUUAGCCCCGCGA
rnacentral:ncRNA from 1 species